rnacentral:lncRNA from 1 species
GAAUCUUUUGCAUCCAUGGUUCAAGAAAACACUUAAGAUAAGCCUUCAUAUGAAAAGCUAGAGGCUAGAGAACUUAUUUUAUAUAUUGAAAAUCAGCAUAUUCCUGCACAAGAUAAUUCGGAAGAAGCCUGGCGAAUACUCAAGAACUAUCUUACUGCUAAUGUCUAUUUUACUGGAGAAUCUUACAAAACUCGAACUUAUUAUGAACACAUACUCGUACAGACAUUCA